rnacentral:lncRNA from 1 species
GAAACCGAAGGUUAAGGUAUAUUGAAAUCUAUAGGAGAAAUGGGAUUUGUACCAUAGAGGGAAGCAACGUUAAACGAUAUAUGGACUAGCAUGGCUACCACUAUCUGAUAUUUAGCCAAAAAAGAAGGAAUUAAAUGUCUGGGUGUAAGCCAAACGACUCUAGGGACAAAUGCGGAUUGCCUCUAUAUCGUCCUAAAAGGGUGUAUAUGGAUAUCCAAAGAAAA